rnacentral:rRNA from 1 species
AUGAACGCUGGCGGCGUGCCUAAUACAUGCAAGUCGAGCGAACAGACGAGGAGCUUGCUCCUCUGACGUUAGCGGCGGACGGGUGAGUAACACGUGGAUAACCUACCUAUAAGACUGGGAUAACUUCGGGAAACCGGAGCUAAUACCGGAUAAUAUAUUGAACCGCCUGGUUCAAUAGUGAAAGACGGUUUUGCUGUCACUUAUAGAUGGAUCCGCGUCGCAUUAGCUAGUUGGUAAGGUAACGGCUUACCAAGGCAACGAUGCGUAGCCGACCUGAGAGGGUGAUCGGCCACACUGGAACUGAGACACGGUGCAGACUCCUACGGGAGGCAGCAGUAGGGAAUCUUCCGCAAUGGGCGAAAGCCUGACGGAGCAACGCCGCGUGAGUGAUGAAGGUCUUCGGAUCGUAAAACUCUGUUAUUAGGGAAGAACAAAUGUGUAAGUAACUAUGCACGUCUUGACGGUACCUAAUCAGAAAGCCACGGCUAACUACGUG